GAUCAUUACCGAGUGAGGGCCCUCUGGGUCCAACCUCCCACCCGUGUUUAUCGUACCUUGUUGCUUCGGCGGGCCCGCCUCACGGCCGCCGGGGGGCUUCUGCCCUCUGGCCCGCGCCCGCCGAAGACACCAUUGAACGCUGUCUGAAGAUUGCAGUCUGAGCAAUUAGCUAAAUAAGUUAAAACUUUCAACAACGGAUCUCUUGGUUCCGGCAUCGAUGAAGAACGCAGCGAAAUGCGAUACGUAAUGUGAAUUGCAGAAUUCAGUGAAUCAUCGAGUCUUUGAACGCACAUUGCGCCCCCUGGUAUUCCGGGGGGCAUGCCUGUCCGAGCGUCAUUGCUGCCCUCAAGCACGGCUUGUGUGUUGGGCCUCCGUCCUCCUUCCGGGGGGACGGGCCCGAAAGGCAGCGGCGGCACCGCGUCCGGUCCUCGAGCGUAUGGGGCUUCGUCACCCGCUCUUGUAGGCCCGGCCGGCGCUGC
rnacentral:rRNA from 1 species